AUUGAACGCUGGCGGCAGGCUUAACACAUGCAAGUCGAGCGGGGGAAGGUAGCUUGCUACCGGACCUAGCGGCGGACGGGUGAGUAAUGCUUAGGAAUCUGCCUAUUAGUGGGGGACAACAUCUCGAAAGGGAUGCUAAUACCGCAUACGUCCUACGGGAGAAAGCAGGGGAUCUUCGGAGCUUGCGCUAAUAGAUGAGCCUAGGUCGGAUUAGCUAGUUGGUGGGGUAAAGGCCUACCAAGGCGACGAUCUGUAGCGGGUCUGAGAGGAUGAGCCGCCACACUGGGACUGAGACACGGCCCAGACUCCUACGGGAGGCAGCAGUGGGGAAUAUUGGACAAUGGGGGGAACCCUGAUCCAGCCAUGCCGCGUGUGUGAAGAAGGCCUUAUGGUUGUAAAGCACUUUAAGCGAGGAGGAGGCUACUUUAGUUAAUACCUAGAGAUAGUGGACGUUACUCGCAGAAUAAGCACCGGCUAACUCUGUGCCAGCCGCCGCAGUAA
rnacentral:rRNA from 1 species